rnacentral:rRNA from 1 species
GAGUUGAUCGUGGCUCAGGAUGAACGCUAGCGGCAGGCUUAACACAUGCAAGUCGAGGGGCAGCGCGGGUAGCAAUACCUGGCGGCGACCGGCAAACGGGUGCGGAACACGUACAGAACCUACCUUGAUCUGGGGCAUAGCCCGGAGAAAUCCGGAUUAACUCCCCAUAAUAUAAUUGGGUGGCAUCACCUAAUUAUUAAAAAUUUAUUGGAUCGAGAUGGCUGUGCGUCCCAUUAGCUAGUUGGUAGGGUAACGGCCUACCAAGGCGACGAUGGGUAGCUGGUGUGAGAGCACGACCAGCCACACGGGCACUGAGACACGGGCCCGACUCCUACGGGAGGCAGCAGUGAGGAAUAUUGGUCAAUGGACGCAAGUCUGAACCAGCCAUGCCGCGUGAAGGAUGAAGGCCUUCUGGGUUGUAAACUUCUUUUACCUGGGAAGAAACCCCGAUAAUCGUAUCGGGUUGACGGUACCAGAGGAAUAAGCACCGGCUAACUCCGUGCCAGCCGCCGCUGUAAG